AGGGGUGUAGUUCAAUGGUAGAACAACGGUCUCCAAAACCGUAUGCUGUGGGUUCAAGUCCUGUCACCCCUG
rfam:Spiroplasma eriocheiris strain DSM 21848, complete genome.